CCGUAGCUCAAUUGGAUAGAGUAUUUGGCUACGAACCAAAAGGUUGGGGGUUCGAUUCCCUUCGGGUG
rnacentral:tRNA from 1 species